rnacentral:rRNA from 1 species
GACGAACGCUGGCGGCGUGCUUAACACAUGCAAGUCGAGCGGUAAGGCCCUUUCGGGGUACGACGAGCGGCGAACGGGUAGGAGUAACACGUGGGUGGACCUCGCCCUCCAGCUCUGGGAGUAAAGACCUCGGGAAACCGGGUACCGUAAUAACUGGAGUAUGACUCCAUGACGCAUGUUGUUGGGGUGGGAAAGACCUU